CAAUAGCGUAUAUUAAAGUUGUUGCAGUUAAAAAGCUCGUAGUUGGAUUUCUGGGAGGGUGCUAAUGUCCGCCGUAGCGCGUGUGCAGCCGCGCCCUUCCAUCCUUCUGUUAACGCCUCUUGGCAUUCAUUUGCUGGUGGCGGGCUCAGAUAUUUUACCUUGAGAAAAUUAGAGUGUUUCAGGCAGGCUUUCGCCGGAAUACAUUAGCAUGGAAUAAUGGAAAAGGACUUCAACCUCUUCUGUUGGUCUGAGAGGCUGUAGUAAUGAUUAAUAGGGAUAGUUGGGGGCAUUAGUACUUAACUGUCAGAGGUGAAAUUCUCCGAUUUGUUAAAGACUAACUUAUGCGAAAGCAUUUGCCAAGGAUGUUUUCAUUAAUCAAGAACGAAAGUUAGGGGAUCAAAGACGAUCAGAUACCGU
rnacentral:rRNA from 1 species